AUUGAGCGUGAAGAGCCGUCAGG
rnacentral:miRNA from 1 species